UGGGGAAUAUUGCACAAUGGAGGGAACUCUGAUGCAGCGACGCCGCGUGAACGAAGAAGGCUUUCGAGUCGUAAAGUUCUUUUAUAUGGGAAGAUAAUGACGGUACCAUAAGAAGAAGCCCCGGCUAACUACGUGCCAGCAGCCGCGGUAAUACGUAGGGGGCUAGCGUUGUCCGGAAUCACUGGGCGUAAAGGGUUCGCAGGCGGAAAUGCAAGUCAGGUGUAAAAGGCAGUAGCUUAACUACUGUAAGCAUUUGAAACUGCAUAUCUUGAGAAGAGUAGAGGUAAGUGGAAUUUUUAGUGUAGCGAUGAAAUGCGUAGAUAUUAAAAAGAAUACCGGUGGCGAAGGCGACUUACUGGGCUCAUUCUGACGCUGAGGAACGAAAGCGUGGGUAGCAAACAGG
rnacentral:rRNA from 1 species